rnacentral:rRNA from 1 species
GUGCCAGCAGCCGCGGUAAUACGUAGGUGGCAAGCGUUACUCGGAAUCACUAGGCGUAAAGCGCAGGUAGGAGGUUUGGUAAGUCUGUUGUGAAAGCUCCCGGCUCAACUGGGAGAGGUCAACGGAAACUACUAGGCUAGAGUGCGGUAGAGGAAGGUGGAAUUCCCGGUGUAGCGGUGAAAUGCGUAGAUAUCGGGAGGAAUACCUAUGGCGAAAGCAGCCUUCUGGACCGUCGCUGACUCUGAUCUGCGAAAGCUAGGGGAGCAAACAGGAUUAGAAACCCCAGUAGUCC